CUUUUGCAAGCUCACCCUUGAGGGAAAUGACCUCAGUUGUAUACGUCUGUGAACCAGUCUCAUUUAUCCCAUUGCUAUUGCGUUCAGUGGAACUUCCCAGGAUAUCCUUAUCACCUGAAGAGAGCAUACUAGACUGCUCCAUUCUCAUCUUAACGAGAACUCCACGAAGCUCUUCAUUUUGCUUAAGACAGUCCUUCAACUGAUUCUCCCACUGUUUUGCUAUACUUCUUGCCUCUUGAUAAGAAGAAGAGAGAUUAGAAUUUUCCUCAAAUAGCUUCUCUAUCUCUGUAGAUUGGGAAUCAAUCUCCUUUAAAAGUUUCUGCCCUCUCAAAUCUCUAAGCUGCUUCAGCCAUAUCAUGCAACCGCUUCUCAAGUUUCUCCUUUUCUUCCACUGAAAACACCUUAUGAGCUACUUUUUCUGAUACUUCAGGGCCUCUUCUGGAUAUAGCUGCAAGUUUCUCCUCCAAUUCCAGAUUUUCAGAUGUAAGGGUAGAAACCCGAGCUUGCUCCUCUGCUAACCGUUGUUGCUCUUUUUGCCUCAAUAAUGACUCUUGCUGCAAAUUUGACUUUAAACCAGCCAACUCCUUUUCCAAGUUUUGUACUUGAUCUGGAGAAAUACCAACAGAUGUCAUUCCACUGAGUAUAUUAUUACUCAUCGCUUGUUGCUGAAUCGAGUUUAACUCUGCUCUCAAAGCUGCUGCAUCUUCCUCAGCUCUGUAUUGUUCUUC
rnacentral:misc_RNA from 1 species